GACGAACGCUGGCGGCGUGCUUAACACAUGCAAGUCGAACGGAAAGGCCCUGCUUUUGUGGGGUGCUCGAGUGGCGAACGGGUGAGUAACACGUGAGUAACCUGCCCUUGACUUUGGGAUAACUUCAGGAAACUGGGGCUAAUACCGGAUAGGAGCUCCUGCUGCAUGGUGGGGGUUGGAAAGUUUCGGCGGUUGGGGAUGGACUCGCGGCUUAUCAGCUUGUUGGUGGGGUAGUGGCUUACCAAGGCUUUGACGGGUAGCCGGCCUGAGAGGGUGACCGGCCACAGUGGGACUGAGAUACGGCCCAGACUCCUACGGGAGGCAGCAGUGGGGAAUAUUGCACAAUGGGCGGAAGCCUGAUGCAGCAACGCCGCGUGCGGGAUGACGGCCUGCGGGUUGUAAACCGCUUUCGCCUGUGACGAAGCGUGAGUGACGGUAAUGGGUAAAGAAGCACCGGCUAACUACGUG
rnacentral:rRNA from 1 species